CUCAAGAAUCUUAAUGUGACUCGCUUUGAAGCAUGAAAGGUAAGAAACAUCUUUCAAUACUUGAUCACCUGACAAGGGAACAGAGAAAAAACCUCCCAUCUUUGAUCAGACUAGAGAGAGAACAAAAAAGGAGAUAAUGUGAGAAACAGAGUUCCAAAACAAGAAACUUGAAGAUGGUUUCACCUGCUGCACACACCGUUUAAAUAAGUAAAAAAGUCAAUUAUUCUAUAGUCUCUUUUAAACCAUUUUUGUCUGACCGAAAACUAAGGUCUUGUAUUUUAUAGUUAUUAACAAGCCGGUUAUUAAAUUUUUUGUAGUAAAACUGAGACCUAAGAGCAUGAUUAUUAGGAGUUCUUAAGGUGGAGUUCUUAGGUCUACUUAAAAUAUCUAGACGAACUAUUAAUUCAGUAAAAUAUUAUUCUCUCGAAAAAUUUGCAUAAAGCACAAUUAAGAUCAGGAAUCAACUACUAAAGCCAAAGAGGAGUAGGUAGAGAAUUAUAAACCAUGCGAGUGUUGACCAACAAGCUCCGCUAAAGCAACUUAACUGCAAAACUACGCAGUCUAAACCACUUCAUCGACGAGACAUCAGUUCAGUUAGGCUUUGCAAGCCAUAACGAUUGGCUUAAGAGCACUAACCUUAGCUUAGAAGAAGAAAAAAAAUAGUCAUCUUGAGCUCCCAAAGUUCUCCACAGAGACAAUUCAUCAGACAAGUGGUAUGCACUUGGUUCCAGGAGUUGUCAUUAGAUUUUGCAAGCAACAAGAUCCAUAAUGGAAGUAUCUAUUAUAAUUUAUAAACUCCUAGACCCACAAACUAAACACGAAUCCAGAAACCAUAGUAACAGUCUAACAGAGACAUAAUCACAAUCUGUCAAGUAAAGAUUUCUUUUUGGUGGCGGGUAAAUAUAAUGGUUAGCCUACUGAUGUGUUUUGAUCUGACGAAC
rnacentral:lncRNA from 1 species